rnacentral:lncRNA from 1 species
AAAAAUAAAAUUUUAAAAGGGGUUGGGGAUGUAGAAGGCCCUAGUGUCAAUUCCCAGUAGCCCUCCACCCCCACUUCAGAUUAGCUAUUUUUAGUUCUUCAUCUUCUCCUCUAGUCAGUAGCUGUGUAACCCAGAAGACCAUGUUCUGAUUGUCGAAAAUUUACCCAUUUUCCAAACACAUCCUCCCUAACCCAUCCCAGCUCCCUCUUGCAUUUCAUGGUUGUUUUUAGAAUAUUCGCCUGGGUCAUUUCUUCUCUUAAAAGUCCCCAGCCUCCCCAUUCUCCUGUCCACCUUUCUUUCUCUGGUGUCACCCUUCAUCUCUAGUAGAUUCUCCCCACCCUUGCUGGCUCCAGGAAAUGUAAAAUGUAUCUGUAUUUCUUUUGGAGAGUAAUGCUGAAUUACUUGUGUGGAGAACAUUUGAAAUAAGAUGGAAUUGUAUAACCCUAAGUGUGCUGUAACCCUAAAGUGUGCUGUGACUUUAAGAGUGCUGUGAGUGAUACGUAACCAUAGUGACCAUAAGAUAUAUAAGUAGAACCUUAAGCGGUAUGGAAUUGAUAAGGAUGUACCCCGAACUGGACAAGGGAUGGCCCAAAAUGGACAGUGUGAUAAGUCUAAACCAAUACCACAAACGCCCAGUUAGAAUAGUAUAAAAGAGCUGAAGACCUCAAGCAAGUCGACGAUCCGUCCCACCAACCAGUCUACUAGUCAGUCUGUUGAUCUGACUACCGACCGGGACACCUGCACCUGAUCCCGCUGGAAGGAGCAUCGCCGCCGACCAGACGAGACCAGAGGAAGAGGCCAGUGGAGAGACGGACACCCUAGCGCCAACUCGACGCCCUUCGUCUACGGAUCGGACCCUCUGACCUGACGGGAGGAAACGUCGCGCUCCCAUAAGGACUUGCGCAGUACAGGCCUCUUUUGUGAAGCUGGUUUCCUGCAAGUGAUGGUUCGUGACAAUAUCCACCCCAGUGACUACUGUGCUUUUGGUAUCUUCGCCCUUCGGGCCUUCAGCGGAGGCAUUUCCACCAAUGAGCGAGUCAUCAAUGUUACCCUCUGUUCUACUGACCAUCUUGCCCUCCACCUCCAGGCACAGCCCGCCGGCGAUCUCCCAGAUCUUGUAAAUGUCGGAGAACAUCUCAUCCGGGCUGAUGCGGUCCGAUCGAUAAUCAUGAUAGUGGCUGAAGGGAGACUCGGCCGCGCUAGCUUGGCAGGAGCCCGGAGCUCAGAAUAAAACCUCAAUGGACCAGUGAUGCUGUGAUGCUCAAGGGCAAGAUUACAUCAGUUGAAGACAUCCUGGGGAGGAACAAAAUCUUCUAGGAUUACUGCCACCACCGUCUGAGACAUCUGUUACUCCCAAAGUACCGAGUAAAGGUGUGGAAAGCUCGAGGUCUUUCAUCUUUGCUGCUCAGAGCAGCACUGAUCAGUCCCAAAGCUCAGCUUCUUCUCUAAGUCUCAUUUUUCUGUCUAUUAAUUUUUUAUUUUUUAUUUUUGGUACCGGGGAUUGAACUCAGAACCUUGCGCUUGCGAGGCAGGCGCUGGAACCACUGAGCUAAAUCCCUGGCCCUUUCUGUCUAUUAAUUAAUUCAUCUUGUGCUAUCGAGGCUCACAGGAGACUAGGACUCACUGCAGUUCUAGUUACAUCCCCUUUCCCUGUUGCCUACAGAGCAUAGUGGUACACACCUGUAAUCCAAGGACUCAGGAGGCUGAGGGAGGAGAAUUGCCAUAAAUAUGAGGCCAGCCUGGGCUACACAGUGAGUUCAAGGCUAGCCUGGACUACCUAGUAAAGCCCCGUCUCGGAAAAAAAAAAAAAAAAAAGGCCCAGAACCUUCAGGAAUGAAGGUAUUGUUAUUGGGUAGCUCCUUCUAAAACUGGCUCACCAGGGCCAGGGAUUUAGCUUCUGCCACCAUCUUGCAAGCACAUGGUCCCAAAUUCGAUCCCAAGUCCAAAAAAAUUUUUUAAAUUUAAAAAAAUAAAACUGACUCACCAAAUAAACAUUACUGGGUUUUGUGGGGCUCAUUCACCUUCUAGAGCUAGUUUCUUCCUUCUUUUUUUUGCUUUUUGCAUGGUUUAUUUUAGUCUCUAACUAACUGUUCUCCAUGUUUUUCUUGUCUUGAAUAAAGAAUUGAACAAAACAAGGAAAAAGCAGUGACAAAGUUUAUUUGAAAAAAAUUGUAGAAGUGAAGAGUGAGGAAGAAACGGUCUGCAGAACAAGCUUGGGCUGAGGAAAAAGCAAGAUAAAGUACACCUUGGAGAAAAUGGCAGGUUAUCAUGAGGAAAGCCACAAUAUCUGUGUCCUUUUAUGCUGUCCAAAUCUAGAGGAAACCCAUAACAACUUCUACAUAUGGGUCCUGAG